rnacentral:tRNA from 1 species
UGCAUGUUUGGCCGAGUGGUUAAGGCGUCGGACUCCUGAUCCGAAUGGGUUCAGCCCAACGUAGGUUCGAAUCCUGCAGCAUGCAA